rnacentral:rRNA from 1 species
GACAGAGGGUGCAAACGUUGUUCGGAAUCACUGGGCAUAAAGCGCACGUAGGCGGCUUGCUAAGUCAGUCGUGAAAGCCCCCGGCUCAACCGGGGAACUGCGUCCGAUACUGGCGAGCUCGAGAGUGGGAGGGGUGGGCGGAACUCCAGGUGGAGCGGUGAAAUGCGUAGAUAUCUGGAGGAACACCGGUGGCGAAAGCGGCCCACUGGCCCACCACUGACGCUGAGGUGCGAAAGCUAGGGUAGCAAACGGG